UACGUAGGGAGCGAGCGUUGUCCGGAUUUAUUGGGCGUAAAGAGCGUGUAGGCGGCCUGAAAGGUCAGCUGUGAAAACUCGAGGCUUAACCUCGAGACGUCGGUUGAAACCAUCUGGCUAGAGUCCGGAAGAGGAGUGUGGAAUUCCCCGGUGUAGCGGUGAAAUGCGCAGAUAUCGGGAAGAACACCCGUGGCGAAGGCGGCACUCUGGGACGGUACUGACGCUGAGACGCGAAAGCGUGGGGAGCGAACAGG
rnacentral:rRNA from 1 species